GACGAACGCUGGCGGCGUGCUUAAUACAUGCAAGUCGUACGGUGAAGCGCUUUCCUCAUUGGUGGGUGUGGAUGAGUGGCGAACGGGUGAGUAACACGUCAGUAACCUGCCCCAUUCUUCUGGAUAACCGCAUGAAAGCGUGGCUAAUACGGGAUAUUCUGCGCCUUCUGCAUGGUGUGUGUUGGAAAGUUUGUGGCUUUGGGUGGUGUCGGCGGGGGAUGGGCUCGCGGCCUAUCAGCUGGUUGGUGGGGUGAUGGCCUACCAAGGCGGUGACGGGUAGCCGGCCUGAGAGGGUGGACGGUCACACUGGGACUGAGACACGGCCCCGACUCCUACGGGAGGCAGCAGUGGGGAAUAUUGAACAAUGGACGCAAGCCUGAUGCAGCGACGCCGCGUGGGGGAUGGAGGCCUUCGGGUUGUGAACCUUUUUCGCCAGUGAAGCAGGCCUGCUCAUUGUGGGUGAGUUGACGGUAGCUGGAUAAGAAGCGCCGGCUAACUCCGUG
rnacentral:rRNA from 1 species